CAGCAGUCGCCGCGGUAAUACAGAGGGUGCGAGCGUUAAUCGGAUUUACUGGGCGUAAAGCGUGCGUAGGCGGCUUUUUAAGUCGGAUGUGAAAUCCCUGAGCUUAACUUAGGAAUUGCAUUCGAUACUGGGAAGCUAGAGUAUGGGAGAGGAUGGUAGAAUUCCAGGUGUAGCGGUGAAAUGCGUAGAGAUCUGGAGGAAUACCGAUGGCGAAGGCAGCCAUCUGGCCUAAUACUGACGCUGAGGUACGAAAGCAUGGGGAGCAAACAGGAUUAGAUACCCCUGUAGUCCCUGUCUCUUAUAU
rnacentral:rRNA from 1 species